rnacentral:rRNA from 1 species
AACGUAGGGGACAAGCGUUAUCCGGAUUUACUGGGCGUAAAGCGCCCGUAGGCGGCUUUUUAAGUUGGACGUGAAAGCUCCCGGCUUAACUGGGAGAGGCCGUUCAAAACUGGAAAGCUGGAGUGAGGAAGAGGAGAGCAGAAUUCCCGGUGUAGUGGUGGAAUGCGUAGAGAUCGGGAGGAACACCAGUGGCGAAGGCGGCUCUCUGGGCCGGUCCUGACGCUCAGGCGCGAAAGCGUGGGGAGCGAUCCGG